rnacentral:rRNA from 1 species
UACGUAGGGGGCAAGCGUUGUCCGGAUUUAUUGGGCGUAAAGAGCGUGUAGGCGGCCGUGUAGGUCCGUUGUGAAAACUCGAGGCUCAACCUCGAGACGUCGAUGGAAACCACACGGCUAGAGUCUGGAAGAGGAGAGUGGAAUUCCUGGUGUAGCGGUGAAAUGCGCAGAUAUCAGGAAGAACACCUAUGGCGAAGGCAGCUCUCUGGGACGGUACUGACGCUGAGACGCGAAAGCGUGGGGAGCGAACAGG